rnacentral:rRNA from 1 species
GAUGAACGCUGGCAGAAUGCUUAACACAUGCAAGUCUUUGGCGAAUCUGUGCUUGCACAGGCUAGCCAAGGCGGACGGGUGAGUAACGCGUAAAGAACAUGCCCUGCAGACAGGGAUAACAGACGGAAACGACUGAUAAUACCCGAUACAGUCGCCGGCACGCAUGUGCCUGGCAAUGAAAAGGGAUGCUGCAGGAGAGCUUUGCGUCCUAUUAGCUUGUUGGUGAGGUGAGGGCUCACCACGGCGAUGAUAGGUAGCCGGCCGGAGCGGGUGAACGGCCACGAGGGGACUGAGAUACGGCAGUGACGACUACGGGAGGCAGCAGUGGGGAAUAUUGGACCAUGAGGGCAUCCCUGAUCCAGCAAUUCGGUGUGCACGGAGAAGGUUUUCGGAUUGUAAAGCGCUUUCAGAAGAGAAGGAGAAAGUGACGGUACCUGCAGAAGAAGCGACGGCUAACUACGUG